ACGCCGAUGGUGAAGUGGUUAUCAUGCUUGCCUUCCACUUCUGGUGUUAGCAAGCGGCACGGGUUCGAUUCCCGUUCGGCGUA